GACGUAGGGAGCAAGCGUUGUCCGGAUUUACUGGGCGUAAAGCGCGCGUAGGCGGUCUGUUAAGUGAGAAGUGAAAUCUCCGGGCUCAACUCGGAAACGUCUUUUCAUACUGGCAGACUGGAGUGACGAAGAGGUGAGUGGAAUUCCCGGUGUAGCGGUGAAAUGCGUUGAUAUCGGGAGGAACACCCAUGGCGAAGGCAGCUCACUGGUCGUCAACUGACGCUGAGGCGCGAAAGCGUGGGUAGCAAACAGGAUUAGAAC
rnacentral:rRNA from 1 species